rnacentral:tRNA from 1 species
UAUAUCAAGGUGUGUGUCACAUAUAAAAUUUUGAUUUUUAAGUAGAAUUGACUUCUGAUAUAA